UUAUGACCCAGACAUUCCCUUCUGCCAAUAACUUCUUCUUACCUUCUCCAGCUUUGGUUGCCUUACGGUGGAUCUGAGAACAAGUUGGUCCAUGGGUGGCCAGGAUGGGGCAGCGUCCAGUACCAAAUAGGAACUGAGAGAAGGUAAGAAGCGGACGAAUCAAGACAACCUCAGAAAGAUAAAAGAAGAAAGAAAACAAAAGUGUGAUGGUGGAGGAGGAAGAUCAGAAACUGAGAAAGACUUCAAAGCUGGAAAGAAGGGAACAAGAUUACUAAUGAGAUUGGACAUCUUUUCACACAUCUCUUGAUGUACCUCAUCUGAACCACUCAAUUUGGUUUUUGCCCAUUUGGGGAUGAGUUGGCAGUAUAAAGGGAAGAACUGGGAAGAUAAAACCCACCCAGAUUGGCAUAGCUCCAGUAGUGAAGAGGAAGAAUGCUAAGUGACCCAAUGGGAGAAACUGGAGCUUCCCCGGCUAUUGGGAAGGAUGCUUAAGUUGAAACUAAGGGAGUGCCUGCUGGAUUUGGAGACUGGAACAGAGCAAUGACUUGGAGGAAAGAGGUUUGAAGUAGAAGAUCUGUGAAAUUCACCAGAAACGAGAUGGGGGACAACUGCCACAGUUUUUUCCCCCCUGCGGAGGUGAGGAUGAGGCUGGGGGAUUGAACUUGCAGAAAUGGAAGGAGAGAUGAAGAUCUACAGUUAGCCUCCCUGCUUCCUUGGCAGAAGCAUGUUUUCUUUCUCCAUCCCAUAUUGAACUAGCAGGGGAAACCAUAUGAAUACAAGAAAAUGUUUCAAAGCACUUACUGUACUUCCAGAAACACAGCAGAGGACCCAUGAUAUUUCAAAUGGUGUUUAAAGCAUGAAUGUACCAGAUAGCGAAGAAGGAAGUAGGCAAUCCAGGUAGAGUAUGUUACAGCAAUACAAUCAAAGUGAUAUGAUUCGGGAGUCAUGAGUUCCCUGGAAAAAAAGAGUUCAUGAUUGCCUGCUAAUUCAUUUUCUGGUGGGUGAUUUGGUGGGUGAUCUGGGCCCUUAGUUCUUCUGCAUGUCAUUACAAGUGAACAGUUGCUAAGAACUUGGUACCUGCUCUCCAACUGCCUGGAUGAGACAUACAGGACUUAAUCAUUGCAGAACUUGCAUUGUCCUUGCCAUAGUUUAGCCUUCAUCAUCUCUUCCCUCCCUACCACCUGUUGGUACCUUUCUAGGUCAGAAAUCUGAACAUGCAAUCUGCUAUAGAUGUCUUCUCUAGUGGUCAGAAAACAACCUUUGUGAAUUUUUUGGAGUUUCUUUAAUCUUACCUGUUGUCCUGAGUCCACCUAUACUUCUUUUUCUACUGUAAGUGUUUAACAGUUUCUUCCUCUUUUAAACAGUCGUUGUCAUUUGGUUUAGCUUAUGAAAUACUCUAAUGCUCAGUUCCGAUGCCGUCUAUCUAAGAGACUAUUCUUGUUUCCAUGUCAUACAGGCUGUGUCUCCUCUGUGCCUCCUGGGUUCCGUCUGUGUACCUGCUGCUGCUGUUAUUUUAUUGUCCUUUUAUUAUUUCUUCUUUAUAUUAGUUCUUUCAGGAUUUCACAGAUAUAUUUUGUUUACAUUCACUGCCCUCUCCCAGUGCCCCGCCCCAGAUCAUCCCCCAUAACCACCCAUCUUUGUGUAUUCUCUUUAAAAACGUCAAGUCUAAACUUCGCUACUCCUGUACUCUCAGAUCUGUUUGUUGCCUUACAGUGAAACCUGGUUAACCCACCCGAGGCCAUACCAUGGACGGCCUGCCCUUUACUGAAUGGAGACGAAGAGGUGGAUGGGAAGGGGUUAGAUGGGAGACUGGAAGGGAGGGCAGGAGGAGAAGAGGGGGGAGGAAACUGUGGUCAGUUUGUUAAAUAAAUGAAAAAAAUUAACUAACUAAAUAAAAAGAAAAUGGACAGUUUAAUUAUCCCCUCAGCUAGGGGUGGGACUUUGUGCCAUCCCCCUCUCUAUGUUGUCUGUCUUGAGCUCAUGCAAGCCUUCUGCAUGCUGUCGCAGCUGCUUUGAGUUCGUAUGUAAACACAGUUAUGUGAGUUCAGUUACCCUGCUAUGUCUGGAAAACACUCGAUCCUUGCAGCCGUCUAUCACCUCUGGUCCUUACAGUCUUUGUCCCAUCAAACCCGUGCCUGUCCUCUUAAGAAACUUUGAGCUCUUCGAGAACCGGACUCUUGGGUUAUUUGUCCUUUUUUGUAUCCUUAGCCAUCUAAAUCAUAGUAAGCAUUCAACACAUGUCUGUUAAAAUAAUGUCUAUGAAAAGAGAAUAUAAAAUGUUUGUGACAGUGGUUAGCUAUCUGAGACUUAGCAGAGGUCACAGGGUUUUCUUAAUCAGACACUGCCUUAAAAGUACCAGGCUUAGAAUUCUAUCUUGAGUCCCUAAUACAUGUGUUCCUACCCCUAUUUUCUAUGAUUCUUGAGAACCCAUUUCUAAGUUCUUAAAUGCUCACUAAUCUAUUGCUAUAUCCCAUAUAGACAGGACUGACUUUUUACAAUAUUUUUUGAAAUUAUAAUUGCAUCAUUUCUGCCUUCCCUUCCUCCAGUCCCUCCCAUGAA